rnacentral:rRNA from 1 species
AACGAACGCUGGCGGCAUGCCUAACACAUGCAAGUCGAACGAGACCUUCGGGUCUAGUGGCGCACGGGUGCGUAACGCGUGGGAACCUGCCCUUAGGUUCGGAAUAACUCCCCGAAAGGGGUGCUAAUACCGGAUAAUGUCUUCGGACCAAAGAUUUAUCGCCUUUGGAUGGGCCCGCGUUGGAUUAGCUAGUUGGUAGGGUAAAAGCCUACCAAGGCGACGAUGCAUAGCUGGUCGGAGAGGAUGAUCAGACACGCGGGGACGGAGUGACGGCCCAGACUCUGAGGGGAGGCAGCAGUGGGGAAUAUUGGGAUAGGGGCGCGAGGCUGAUGGUGGGACGCCGCGUGGGGGAUGAAGGACGUAGGGUUGUUACCGACGUUAGCUAGGGACGAAGCAUUUUGUCACGGUACGUAGAUAAGAAGCACCGGGUCACUACGUG